UACGUAGGGGGCUAGCGUUGUUCGGAAUUACUGGGCGUAAAGGGCUCGUAGGCGGCCAACUAAGUCAGACGUGAAAUCCCUCGGCUUAACCGGGGAACUGCGUCUGAUACUGGAUGGCUUGAGAUUGGGAGAGGGAUGCGGAAUUCCAGGUGUAGCGGUGAAAUGCGCAGAUAUCAGGAAGAACACCAAUGGCGAAGGCAGCUCUCUGGGACGGUACUGACACUGAGACGCGAAAGCGUGGGGAGCGAACAGG
rnacentral:rRNA from 1 species